rnacentral:rRNA from 1 species
GACGAACGCUGGCGGCGUGCUUAACACAUGCAAGUCGAGCGGUAAGGCCCUUUCGGGGUACGACGAGCGGCGAACGGGUAGAGUAACACGUGGGUGGACCUGCCCUCCAGCUCUGGGAGUAAAGCCUCGGGAAACCGGGGUACCGUAAUAACCGGAUAUGACUCCAUGACGCAUGUUGUGGGGUGGAAAGCCUUGUGCGGCUGAGGAUGGGCCC